CGACAAUACUUGAUGUAUAAGGAUGCGAGCUCUCUCUAAAAGAGUGACAGUCGGAGGAGUUGCAGUCUCUGUCACUACGUUUGCUGUUGUAAUACUUUCUCUUGUACUAUGAUUGCGUUUGGUUGGCAUUUUGAAUGUGAAAUAUGGUCAAAAGAAGCACGCAAAUAAAAUCUCUCAAAACAAACCAAUUUUUCUCUGCCCCUGGGUGUCGGUAGCAGAUCAUCUUCAGAAAGCAGGAUUUGGAAGCUGGUUUUUGCUUUC